AACGAACGCUGGCGGCAUGCCUAACACAUGCAAGUCGAACGAGGCCGUCGGGUCUAGUCACGAACGGGAGGGUAACGCGUGGGAACCUUCCCUUAGGUUCGGAAUAACUCUCCGAAAGGGGUACUAAUACCGGAUAAUGUCUUAGAACCAAAGAUUUAUCGACUUUGGAUGGGCACGCUUUGGAUUAGCUAGUUGGUAGGGUAAAAGCCAACCAAGGCGACGAUCCAUAGCUGGUCUGGGAGGAUGAUCAGCCACCCUGGAACUGAGACACGGCCCAGACUCCUACGGGAGGCAGCAAUGGGGAAUAUUGAACAAUGGGCGAAAGCCUGAUCCAGCAAUGCCGCGUGAGUGUUGAAGUCCUUAGGGUUGUAAAGCUCUGUUACCCGGGAUGAUAAUGACAGUACCGAGAGAAUAAGCUACGGCUAACUCCGUG
rnacentral:rRNA from 1 species